GACGUAGGAUGCAAGCGUUGUCCGGAUUUAUUGGGCGUAAAGAGUUCGUAGGCGGUUCGUUAAGUCUGAUGUUAAAGACUGGGGCUCAACCCUGGGAGUGCAUUGGAUACUGGCGGACUGGAGUGCAGUAGAGGCAAGCGGAAUUCCAGGUGUAGCGGUGAAAUGCGUAGAUAUCUGGAAGAACACCGGUGGCGCAAGCGGCUUGCUGGGCUGUAACUGACGCUGAGGAACGAAAGCUAGGGGAGCGAAUGGG
rnacentral:rRNA from 1 species